UUCACCCUUCUCUACAAACGCCUGUAAUNGAGUAUGUAGUCGAAGCUCUACGGAGCGAAAUGGCGAGUACAACUUUCAACAACGGAUCUCUUGGCUUUCGCAUCGAUGAAGNACGCCGCGAAAGCGCGAAACGUAAUGUGAAUUGCAGAAUUCAGUGAAUCAUCGAAUCUUUGAACGCACCUUGCGCUCCUCGGUAUUCCGAGGAGCAUGCCUGUUUGAGUGUCGUGAAAUACAUCGACCCCUCGGGGCCUUUUGGCCUGCCGUCUGGGUCGGAUUUGGACGCCUGCCGGUCUCUACCUGACUGGCUCGUCUUGAAAUGCAUUAGCUGGCCAUUGCCCUCACCUUCGGGUCCCCGCGGACAGGCGUGAUAAAGUGGAAACGCUCGCUCGCGUCGGUGGGUUGACCGAGUGGGGGGAAAAAAUGAAGCUGGCUCAGAGUCUGGGAUGAAUGGUCCCCUUCUGUGGUCUGACCUCAAAUCAGGUAGGACUACCCGCUGAACUUAAGCAUAUCAAUAAGCGGAGGAAAAGAAACUAACGAGGAUUCCCCUAGUAACGGCGAGUGAAGCGGGAAGAGCUCAAAUUUGUAAUCUGGCGGUCUCGGGCCGUCCGAGUGU
rnacentral:rRNA from 1 species